rnacentral:rRNA from 1 species
GACGAACGCUGGCGGCGUGCCUAACACAUGCAAGUCGAGCGAGGUCCAUUCGGUAGCAAUACCGAAGAAGACCUAGCGGCGAACGGGUGAGUAACACGUGAGAAACCUGCCCCAAAGUCUGGGAUAACCCGGGGAAACCCGAGCUAAUACCGGAUACCUUCUUUUGAUCGCAUGGUCAGUUGAAGAAAGUUUUUUCGCUUUGGGAGGGUCUCGCGGCCUAUCAGUUUGUUGGUGGGGUAACGGCCUACCAAGACAUCGACGGGUAGCUGGUCUGAGAGGACGAUCAGCCACACUGGGACUGAGACACGGCCCAGACUCCUACGGGAGGCAGCAGUGGGGAAUCUUGCGCAAUGGGCGAAAGCCUGACGCAGCAACGCCGCGUGCGGGAUGACGGCCUUCGGGUUGUAAACCGCUUUCAGCAGGGACGAAGCGAAAGUGACGGUACCUGGAGAAGAAGCACCGGCCAACUACGUGC